AUGAACUCGAAGGACUACGGCGUGACUGCCGCCGAGGAGUACAUUGCCGCCCUCAUCGCCGCUGUCUCGCUCUUUCGCAUACAUUGCCACAUGGCCCUCACUGUCCUCGAAAUCUCCCACUCAUUGUCAAACCAAGUAAGGAUCUCCUUCAACCUGGCUAACUUUGCCUGGUCGCCGCCGGCGAUCUGCCUGAUUCGCUUCUGCAUCCUCUCCAUAGAUGUCCUUCUGAGUGGUCUGGUGCUAGCUUUGGAAGAUGGGAGGAGAGACGGUGGUCUUGCAAUAGAGAAGAGGGAGAGGCGAGACGGUGGUUUUGGAAUGGAGAUGAUGGAGAGGAGAGGGGGUGGUUUUGCAAUGGAGAAGAGGGAGAGGCGAGACAGUAGUUUUGGAAUGGAGAUGAUGGAGAGGAGAGGUUUCCCUGCCUUUCGGUCGCUGACAGGUGGGCCCCGCGCUUGGUGGGACCCAUGUGUCAGUGUCUCAAUGGCAGGAUGGGCUACGUCAGCGGAUCCUUGUUCGAGGGGAGAGGAGGUGGUAUUGCAAUGGAGAAGAGGGAGAGGCGAGACAGUGGUUUUGAAAUGGAGAUGA
rnacentral:rRNA from 1 species